UAAACGGAAAGGACAGAGAUCCUGUCUGUUCAAUGUAAAAAAAAAAAAAAGGAAAAAAAAGAAAAGAAAAAAAAAGCAGAUCAGACCGAGAGAGACAGAGAGAGAGAGAGAGGAGAGGGAGGGGGGAGAGGAGAGAGAGCGCGAGCGCGAGCGAGCGAGAGAAGAGGAGAAAGAGAGAGAGAGAGCAGAGCGAGAGGAGAGCGAGGUGUGGAGAAACCGAGGGGAGAGAACCCGAGUGUGUGUAUGCGUGUGCGUGUGUGAGCGCGAGCGAGCGAGCGAGGGAGAGGAGCGAGAGAGUGCGAGCGAGAAAGAAUAAAAGGAAAGAAGAUUUUCUCUAUGUAUAUAAAGAUGGCCACGUUAGCAAACGGACAGGCUGACAACGCGAGCCUCAGUACCAACGGGCUCGGCAGCAGCCCGGGCAGCGCCGGGCACAUGAACGGAUUAAGCCACAGCCCGGGGAACCCGUCGACCAUUCCCAUGAAGGACCACGAUGCCAUCAAGCUGUUCAUUGGGCAGAUCCCCCGCAACCUGGAUGAGAAGGACCUCAAGCCCCUCUUUGAGGAGUUCGGCAAAAUCUACGAGCUCACGGUUCUGAAGGACAGGUUCACAGGCAUGCACAAAGGCUGCGCUUUCCUCACCUACUGCGAGCGUGAGUCAGCGCUGAAGGCCCAGAGCGCGCUGCACGAGCAGAAGACUCUGCCCGGGAUGAACCGGCCAAUCCAGGUGAAGCCCGCGGACAGCGAGAGCCGAGGAGAUAGAAAACUCUUCGUGGGCAUGCUCAACAAGCAACAGUCCGAGGACGACGUGCGCCGCCUCUUCGAGGCCUUCGGGAACAUAGAGGAGUGCACCAUCCUGCGCGGGCCCGACGGCAACAGCAAGGGGUGUGCCUUUGUGAAGUACUCCUCCCAUGCCGAGGCGCAGGCGGCCAUCAACGCUCUACACGGCAGCCAGACCAUGCCGGGAGCCUCGUCCAGUCUGGUGGUCAAGUUCGCCGACACUGACAAGGAGCGCACGAUGCGGCGAAUGCAGCAGAUGGCUGGCCAGAUGGGCAUGUUCAACCCCAUGGCCAUCCCGUUCGGGGCCUAUGGCGCCUACGCUCAGGCACUGAUGCAGCAGCAAGCGGCCCUCAUGGCGUCAGUUGCACAGGGCGGCUACCUGAACCCCAUGGCUGCCUUCGCUGCUGCCCAGAUGCAGCAGAUGGCGGCCCUCAACAUGAACGGCCUGGCGGCCGCACCUAUGACCCCAACCUCAGGUGGCAGCACCCCUCCAGGCAUCCCUGCACCAGCUGUGCCUAGCAUCCCGUCCCCCAUUGGGGUGAACGGCUUCACCGGCCUCCCCCCACAGGCCAACGGGCAACCUGCUGCGGAAGCUGUGUUCGCCAAUGGCAUCCACCCCUACCCAGCACAGAGCCCCACCGCGGCGGACCCCCUGCAGCAGGCCUACGCUGGAGUGCAGCAGUAUGCAGGUCCCGCCUACCCUGCUGCCUACGGUCAGAUAAGCCAGGCCUUCCCUCAGCCGCCUCCAAUGAUCCCCCAGCAACAGAGAGAAGGGCCUGAGGGCUGUAACCUGUUCAUCUACCAUCUGCCCCAGGAGUUUGGGGACGCUGAGCUGAUGCAGAUGUUCCUCCCUUUCGGUAAUGUCAUCUCCUCGAAAGUGUUUGUGGAUCGGGCGACUAACCAAAGUAAAUGCUUUGGUGGGUAAAGAUAACAAACCAAUUAGCUUCACCCAGGACAGGGCGGUGCUCGCACCCCAUCACCGGUGUCCACCUGCUUCUCACCUGCUCCUUCGCAUCGGCCCAGGAGCUCCCCACGGCCCGCCUCCAGCCUCCAUCCCUCACCCUCCUCUUUUCCGCUGCUCUUUUUGCUUCUUGGCUUUCCCUGUCCACCCCCACCUGGACCCCACCUCCCACGUCCCAGUCCAAGAAAUGGGUUUCCUCUUCCAGCUAGGUUCCAGCCAACUGAGGAGGGGAAGGGGCUCUGUGGGCAGGGGCGGGGGGCAGUGAGCACAGCCUAGUGACAUCCAUUGCCCGGCAGCUCCUCCCGGCUCCUGGUCAGAGUGGCCCAGCCUGAGCCCCAGGUGGCAGCAGAGCAUGAUCCCUGGGGGGCAGCAGCCAAGCCAGGCCCUGCCACCUGCCCCUUCACCUGCCCCUUCGCCUCCUCUCUCCACCUCUCUGCCCUGCCCCAUCUCCUUCUCUGUCUGCCCCGCUCUGUGCUCCCUCCCGCCACCCCUACCCACCCCCCUCAGGCGCCCAAAGCAGGGCUUUGUUGAGAAGCCAGGAAGAGGAGACUGGUCCCUGCCCUCAGGAAGCCUGAGCUCUGAGCUUAGAGGAAAAUUGUGUCUACUCACCAGCAGUGAAAUCUGCGAGGCACCAGGAAAUGAAGUGAUAAGAGAGGUGGAAGGAUGUAAAGACACGUAAAGGAAGAGCAGGAUUCCAGGCAGGGAGACUAGGACAACAAGCAUGGGGCUGGGAUGGCAAGGGUACGAGGACGAGGACGGGGAGUGAGGAGGCAGGGGCUCUGGGGAGAACGGGGGGCUCAGGGGAGACCAGUUGCAAGGGAGGGUCUGUGCUGGGGAGGGUUUCUGCCAUCUGGGUGCUUCAUUUGGUGUGGCGGGCAGUGGAAGGCAGCGGGAGGUCCCUAAGCAGAGCGUAAUAGCAUAAGAACACAGCUUUCGGGAAAUUUGCCUGGUGACCGGUGCUAGAUGGGAGAGGGAAGACUUAGGCGGAUCCAGAAGUGUGGUUGUCAGAUGAAAUACAGGAUUCCCACUAAAAUCUGAAUUUCAGAUCAACAGUGGAUACUUUUUUAGUGUAAGAUAUGCCCCAAACAUUGCAUGCAACAUGGCCCCUGUGCUAUUUGGGAUAUACCUAUACCCAAAAAAGUAUUGCGUUGAUCUGAAGUUCAAGUUAAACUGGGCAUCCUAUGUUUUUAUUUGUGAAGUCUGGGAACCCUAUCCAGGAAGCUUCAGACCUCCUCCUGGAAUUUCGCUUCACCCCACAUCUCUCCUCCUCCACUUCUCCUUGUUCCCUCUCCCACCUCCUCUUCUGCCCCCCUCAGCCUUUCCUUCUAGGGCAAGAUCCAUUCAAGAGGCCCUGGGGACUGAUGAGUCCAGUCCCCAGAGAGCCACACGCAAAACCAGAGCUGAGUCAGCCAGAAGCUCAGUAUCUCCAGGCUGACCCCAGAGUCCGGGGCUGGGAGGGGAACGUGGGAGCCUGUGCUGGCUAGGGAACCCAGGUCACAGCUUAUGGGGCUAGGGGAGAAAGGACAAGAGUAUAGAAGCAUCAGGAAGCACAUGUCCAGAACUUUCCACUUUGGAGAGCAACUUUGCAGAACUGUGAAGGGCUUGAGGAUUCAGAUCAUGUUCCCCAAAGUAGUAAGAUCUUUGCACCAUUGUCCCUUCCCCUCUGGCAGCUGUUGCAGGAAACUUGUGGUCUUCCAACAGCAUAAAGUUGCCCCAGCAACUUUGGGUAUAAAAAAACAAAACAAAAGAUGAUGACAGGGUGGCACUUCCCCACGCCACUCAACUAGUACUUCUCCUUAUAACUUACAAUGACAUCUGUAAAAAAAAAACCUAGAAAUCAGUUACAUUUGCUGCUUUGAGUAAGUCUUGAAUGUCAUAUAGAUGAGAAGAACCUUCUUCUAAGAGCCCAGGAAAGUCUGGGCCAGGACCAAGGUAUUUUUCCUGCUUUUUAUAGAAAUCAUCCUCUGUAUGUCUCUACUCUGGCCUCUCCUCUCUUCUCGAACACACUACUAAUGCUAAACACUACCAGCCUUGCAAAAGGACAGGCUCCAGCCAUGCCAGCCCAGCCCAGCUAUUCCUCAUUAGGCCACUUUGGUCCUCUCUCUCACGGGGCAGCUGUGCCCUUAUUGUGAGCCCUGGCUUCAGCACUCCCUCAUGGGCAAGUCAUUAACCCUCUGAGCCUUAGUGCCCUCAUUUGUGAAACGGAGACAUUGACAGUCAUCCCUGAUGGGUGCUGUGAAUGUUCCAGGAGCCAGUCUGUUGCAAGGGGGGCUUGGCCAGACCAGACCCUCAGGAAGUGCUGCAGUCCCUUUUGUUCUGAAAGGCGGUGCUGUUUUUGCUAUAAGAGUGGGCCUAUGUUAAAGUGAACUCCUCAAAGGCUGCACUCACUCUUUAGAAGCAUGAGCAUACAUUUAUAAGCAAGGAUAUGGCUAGGACAAAAUGUUCCUGCGUUGGAAGGAGUGCUGGGGGUAUACCACCAGUCUGGGAGGCAGGAGCUUUCCAGGGGUAGGAUGAGAACAGUGCUGGGGAGAAGAAGGGAAAUCUGGGUGAAGGAAGACAGUCCUGGAAACCAUGAACAUGGGAGAUGGUGCCCACAGCCCUGCCACAGGGGUCUCCAGUCUUUGAGGGAGAUGAUUCCUGCCCUGACUGCUAGCCAGUUAACAACACUCCAGGAAAGAAACGUUCCCUUGAGUCUGGUAUCCUUCUUAACACCCUGCCAACCCUGCCCCGGCUUUUGGAGACCUCUGGACUCUUCCAGGAAGGCUGGGCUUCCUCCCACCUCCAGAACUUCCUUCCUGCUCUCUCCUGUGUGGCUGUCCCUCAACUCCGCCAGCCCUUGUUAUCCUCCUGCUUUGCUCAUGUGUUGUUUUCUGAUAAGAGAGCCACCAAGCCUAGGUGGAUAUCAGAGGAAUGAGGGGUGAGCAUGUCACCCACAGUCAGACUACCUUGUCCUGGUAGGGGCUGAGAGCAGGUGGUGGAAGCAUGACUGGAGGCUAAUCUCCAACUAUGGAUCACCUCAAAUCUCUCCUAUUUGUUUACGUGUACAGAUUACACAGACGUUGGUUUUGUUGCUUUGGGCUUGGCUCUGACCAACUUCGUCCACGCUCACAUGCAUGCAGUCACAUGUGCACACGCAUGUGCGCAAAUGAGACGCAUGCACAUGCACACUGCCACACUCCCGCCCAGCCCCAUCUUUGAUGGCAAAGCAGGAAGGAGAUGAGAGAAAGAGAACAGAUGGAUGGAGACAGGUGUCGAGGGCAGAGGGAAAGAGGGAAAAAGGGCCACCACAGAGGGAGAGAGCUAGGGAGGGGUGUGUCUCUUGGAGUGGAGAGGUCACAGGCAGGCGGAAGGUACCCCGGACAAUUAACCAAGAAAAUGGCUUCUACCUUGCUAGGGGGCUGGCUGUGUUUCUACCUAUUAUACAUCCAGUGGCCAUCUGGGGGCGAGCACCCCAAGUGGCUCAUUUGUGGGAAGGCCUGGGUAUCUCGCCAAGCUGAGUUUUGUAUAUUUUGCAGGAUCUAAGUCCAUUUUACUUAGAGAAAGGCCUCUAAAGUCAAAUAAAUUCAAGGAAAUACUAGAUUAAACAGAGUUAUAAAUGUUUAUUUACUGGAGAACUUGGGGCAGGAUGGUUUUUUUUUUUUAAUUUGUUAAUGUGCCUUGAACUGGCCCAGAGGGGCCUGGCUAUAAAGCUACAUGACCACAGAAGCCCUUUCUCAAGGAGCACCUUUUAGGGCUAGUUUGGAAGUGCUGAAAUAAACAGCUGUCCCCAUAAGGAGAUGCAUUGCAAGUUCCCCAAAGGUGACCUCUGAACUCACUUUGGGAUCAUGACCAGUCCCAUCUGGGCACUGUGUGUUUGGGAAUGGGAGCUGCGCAUGGGUUUGUAUCCAGUCUGGGAUGUCGCGGGGAGUGGACGUGUGAGAGGCGCUUCUGCGGUCCCGGCUACACAGAAGGCUCUCACGGAAAUUUUCCUAAUGGUGUUAACUGUUACCGUUAUAGUUGUUGUGAGUCCCAUGAGUGGUGAUGGGAGCGCAUCAACUGGUGUGUGCUUAGUCCAUGGAAAGAGCACCUGCUCCCGGGGCUUGGAAUUUUACGCAAGGAGGAGAGAGGUGCUGACAGCCCUGAGUGCGAGGCGGCGGGUUAAUGCGGAUUCAGCCCAGUGCCCACCAGGGGCCCGGCGGGGCAGCCUCGGCAGGACCGGGCGUGGGGGCGGGGGGCCCGGAGGACUCGGCCUCUGGCGCUCCCCCCACGGCCAGGCCGCGCUCGCGAGGGGGGCGGCCGGAAACGGCGGUGGAGAAGCUUUCUCCGCGGGCCUCCCUCCCUCCCCCUCGCACUCCUCUCUCUCCCCAGGCCGGCACCCCGUGCCCUCCCGCUGCCAGGUCCCCUCCUGUCAGGGAGGACAGUGUCCAAUAAACUCCUCCACCCGCAGGCUUCGUGAGCUUCGACAACCCGGCCAGCGCGCAGACCGCCAUCCAGGCCAUGAACGGCUUCCAGAUCGGCAUGAAGAGGCUCAAAGUGCA